GGCUUAGUUGCUAUUGGCUUAUCAGCAUACAGAGGUGUGUACAAAUCACUCAGAGAGGUCUCCUUUGAGGUAAGGAAAGUCCUUGAGCUUUUAGUUGGACAAGUGAAUGAAAAGAUUCAGGCUGGGAAAGACAAAUAUCAGUAUGUUCGUCUCUUAUCGCAAGUAGCGUAUCUGGAAGAUAUGGUCAACAACUGGGCACAUGCAUUGCAAAGUUUAGAACUUGACACUCAAAUCACUGUGGCG
rnacentral:misc_RNA from 1 species